rnacentral:rRNA from 1 species
UGGGGAAUUUUGACAAUGGGCGAAAGCCUGAUCCAGCAAUGCCGCGUGUGUGAAGAAGGCCUUCGGGUUGUAAAGCACUUUUGUCCGGAAAGAAAUCCUUGGCUCUAAUACAGUCGGGGGAUGACGGUACCGGAAGAAUAAGCACCGGCUAACUACGUGCCAGCAGCCGCGGUAAUACGUAGGGUGCAAGCGUUAAUCGGAAUUACUGGGCGUAAAGCGUGCGCAGGCGGUUUGCUAAGACCGAUGUGAAAUCCCCGGGCUCAACCUGGGAACUGCAUUGGUGACUGGCAGGCUAGAGUAUGGCAGAGGGGGGUAGAAUUCCACGUGUAGCAGUGAAAUGCGUAGAGAUGUGGAGGAAUACCGAUGGCGAAGGCAGCCCCCUGGGCCAAUACUGACGCUCAUGCACGAAAGCGUGGGGAGCAAACAGGAUUAGAUACCCUGGUAGUCCACGCCCUAAACGAUGUCAACUAGUUGUUGGGAUUCAUUUCCUUAGUAACGUAGCUAACGCGUGAAGUUGACCGCCUGGGGAGUACGGUCGCAAGAUU